AUGAAUCUACCAAUGCAGUUAAUGGAUGUAGUGACCGCUUAUCUAUACGGGUCACUCGAUGCGGAAAUUUAUAUGAAAGUUCCUGAUGGACUUAAAAUCCCGAAUCCAAAUAUAAAUCGCAACAUGUAUUGUGUAAAACUACAAAAGUCACUCUAUGGCUUGAAGCAGUCGCUUAAAAUGUGGUAUAAUCGACUCAGUGAGUUCCUUCUCAGUAAAGGGUACUCGAAUAACAAUGAUUGCCCAUGCAUAUUUAUAAAGAAAUCCUCAAAGGGAUUUUGCAUCAUCUUAGUAUAUGUUGAUGAUCUCAACAUCAUUGGCAACGCAUAA
rnacentral:rRNA from 1 species